UAGGGAAUCUUCGGCAAUGGACGAAAGUCUGACCGAGCAACGCCGCGUGAGUGAAGAAGGUUUUCGGAUCGUAAAACUCUGUUGUUAGAGAAGAACAAGGACGUUAGUAACUGAACGUCCCCUGACGGUAUCUAACCAGAAAGCCACGGCUAACUACGUGCCAGCAGCCGCGGUAAUACGUAGGUGGCAAGCGUUGUCCGGAUUUAUUGGGCGUAAAGCGAGCGCAGGCGGUUUCUUAAGUCUGAUGUGAAAUCCUCGGGCUCAACCUGGGAACUGCAUCUGAUACUGGCAAGCUUGAGUCUCGUAGAGGGGGGUAGAAUUCCAGGUGUAGCGGUGAAAUGCGUAGAGAUCUGGAGGAAUACCGGUGGCGAAGGCGGCCCCCUGGACGAAGACUGACGCUCAGGUGCGAAAGCGUGGGGAGCAAACAGG
rnacentral:rRNA from 1 species